GAGGAAUAUUGGUCAAUGGGCGAAAGCCUGAACCAGCCAAGUAGCGUGCAGGACGACGGCCCUAUGGGUUGUAAACUGCUUUUAUAAGGGAAUAAAGUGAGUCUCGUGAGACUUUUUGCAUGUACCUUAUGAAUAAGGACCGGCUAAUUCCGUGCCAGCAGCCGCGGUAAUACGGAAGGUCCGGGCGUUAUCCGGAUUUAUUGGGUUUAAAGGGAGCGUAGGCCGGAGAUUAAGCGUGUUGUGAAAUGUAGACGCUCAACGUCUGCACUGCAGCGCGAACUGGUUUCCUUGAGUACGCACAAAGUGGGCGGAAUUCGUGGUGUAGCGGUGAAAUGCUUAGAUAUCACGAAGAACUCCGAUUGCGAAGGCAGCUCACUGGAGCGCAACUGACGCUGAAGCUCGAAAGUGCGGGUAUCGAAC
rnacentral:rRNA from 1 species